GGCUCUGUAGGUUCAGUUCCAGUACUCUUCUUUGCUGAACUUAGCAAUGACGAUGAUGGCGACAAGGACAGCCAGCUUUUAUGUUGCCCUGUGGAUUUUCCAACACCAGGGGCUGGUAUGCUCCCGUUCUUAUGUUUAAGAUAAGAUUCUCUUUAUCAUCAGAUAGAUAGAUAUGGAUCUUCAUUAACUGUUAUGAUGCUCAUAUCACACACACAAUCAACCCACGAGAAUCUUACUUCUGAAGUCAAGAUAGAAAGUACUCCCUCUGUAAUUUAAUAUAAGACAUUUUUUGAGAUGCUGUAAGUGUAAAAAACAUCUUAUAUUAAGUUACAUAGGGAUUAUAUGUUUAUAUAUUCCGUAGGUUAAAUACUAAUGUUGUCUGUUUUGUUAAAAAAUAAGUGGGUGUAAAAUCUUUGCUCUGAUUACUAAUUGUGUUCUGCAUUCAUGUGUCAGAGUCAGUGCGCCGCCUUUUCUGCAAGCUAGAAGGGAUCAGGAUUGCGCAUGAUGGAGACCACGGUCUGGAGGGAUCCACGACCGCGAUAAUGAAAACGGCACCCAAG
rnacentral:lncRNA from 1 species